CCUACGGGAGGCAGCAGUAGGGAAUAUUGCUCAAUGGGGGAAACCCUGAAGCAGCAACGCCGCGUGGAGGAUGAAGGUUUUCGGAUUGUAAACUCCUUUUGUUAGAGAAGAUAAUGACGGUAUCUAACGAAUAAGCACCGGCUAACUCCGUGCCAGCAGCCGCGGUAAUACGGAGGGUGCAAGCGUUACUCGGAAUCACUGGGCGUAAAGAGCGCGUAGGCGGGAUAGCAAGUCAGAUGUGAAAUCCUAUGGCUUAACCAUAGAACUGCAUUUGAAACUGGUAUUCUAGAGUAUGGGAGAGGUAGGUGGAAUUCUUGGUGUAGCGGUGAAAUGCGUAGAGAUCAAGAGGAAUACUCAUUGCGAAGGCGGCCUGCUAGGACAUAACUGACGCUGAUGCACGAAAGCGUGGGGAGCAAACAGGAUUAGAUACCCUUGUAGUC
rnacentral:rRNA from 1 species